rnacentral:rRNA from 1 species
AGAGUUUGAUCAUGGCUCAGGAUGAACGCUAGCGGCAGGCUUAAUACAUGCAAGUCGAGGGGCAGCGGGGGUAGCAAUACCUGCCGGCGACCGGCAAACGGGUGCGGAACACGUACAGAACUUUCCUCUGAGUGUGGGAUAGCCCGGAGAAAUCCGGAUUAAUACCACAUAGUAUUUUGGAGUGGCAUCACUUUAAAAUUAAAGAUUUAUCGCUUAGAGAUGGCUGUGCGGCUGAUUAGGUAGUUGGUGUAGGUAACGGCUCACCAAGCCAACGAUCAGUAACUGGUGUGAGAGCACGACCAGUCACACGGGCACUGAGACACGGGCCCGACUCCUACGGGAGGCAGCAGUAAGGAAUAUUGGUCAAUGGAGGCAACUCUGAACCAGCCAUGCCGCGUGAAGGAUGAAUGCCCUCUGGGUUGUAAACUUCUUUUAUCUGGGACGAAACACUCUUAUUCUUAAGAGCUUGACGGUACCAGAGGAAUAAGCACCGGCUAACUCCGUGCCAGCAGCCGCGGUAAUACGGAGGGUGCAAGCGUUAUCCGGAUUCACUGGGUUUAAAGGGUGCGUAGGUGGGUUGGUAAGUCAGUGGUGAAAUCUCCGUGCUUAACAUGGAAACUGCCAUUGAUACUACUGGUCUUGAAUUUUCUGGAGGAUAGCGGAAUAUGUCUGUAGCGGUGAAAUGCUUAGAUAUGACAUAGAACACCAAUUGCGAAGGCAGCUAUCUACAGGGAUAUUGACACUGAGCACGAAAGCGUGGGGAUCAAACAGGAUUAGAUACCCUAGUAGUCC